UUAAAAGUUAUGAUGGAGAAAUAAAGAAAUACCCCUAUGUUUCAGAGAGCCGGAAAAGGUGUGAACCGGUAACAUAUGUAUUUUGUAAGUCACUCCUGAACUGCAAAGCUGAAAAUAGUAAGUAAGCUGCGCCGGAAACAGUUCCAUUGGAACGCAACCGUUAUCUUGCUAGGGUUGAUAGACCUGAUGAGAUGCAUACACCUUCGUGUGGAUGCAAUAAGGGUGGUACCGCGAGAUAACCUCUUGCCCCUUUU
rnacentral:ncRNA from 1 species